rnacentral:tRNA from 1 species
ACCUGGAUGUCUCAGUUGGUUGAGCAUCUGACUUCAGCUCAGGUCAUGAUCUCAAGGUUAGUGGGUUCGAGUCCCACAUCGGGCU